AAGAGAAGCUGCUGGAAGAUUCAUCCUCUGGGGUCUCUGGGUUGAUGUUUUACCUCAAUGCAUCUAGGACUCAGAAUAGCUGGUUGCAACUAUGACUCUUCAUUAACCUGCUGAAUAACAUAGACCAGCCAUCCAACUUUCCCCACUUAAGAAAUGAGGACAUUAUCUAGUCUUCUCACUUGACAGAACUGUCGUGAGAAAAGAUUAUUUAUAUUAAUAUGCUGAAAGCCUAACCCACAUGGUGAUGGUAUUAGGAGGUGGGGCCUUUGAAAGGCGAUUAAUGAGAACAGAGACAGCAUGAUUCAGAUUGGUGCUCUUGUAAAAGAGGCCCCAGAGAGCUAGUGAGCCUUUUCCACCGUGGAGGACCCAGCAAGAGGGCUCCAUCUAUGAACCAGAAAUCAGGAUCUCACCAGGUUUCCCAGCCUGAAGAACUGGAAGAAAUAAACUUCUGUUGUUUAUAAGCUA
ensembl:lncRNA novel transcript